rnacentral:rRNA from 1 species
AUUGAACGCUGGCGGCAGGCUUAACACAUGCAAGUCGAACGAGUGGCGGACGGGUGAGUAAUGUCUGGGAAACUGCCCGAUGGCGGGGGAUAACUACUGGAAACGGUAGCUAAUACCGCAUACCAUCGGAUGUGCCCAGAUGGGAUUAGCUAGUAGGUGGGGUAACGGCGCACCUGGGCGACGAUCCCUAGCUGGUCUGAGAGGAUGACCAGCCAACCGGGAACUGAGAAACGGUCCAGACUCCUACGGGAGGCAGCAGUGGGGAAUAUUGGACAAGGGGCGCAAGCCUGAUGCAGCCAUGCCGCGUGUAUGAAGAAGGCCUUCGGGUUGUAAAGUACUUUCAGCGGGGAGGCGUUACUCGCAGAAGAAGCACCGGCUAACUCCGUGCCAGCAGCCGCGGUAAUUC